GUAUUUGAGGUCUUGAAUGUCACUACUCUGAAAUGCAAUGCUCCUGGAAAUUGGUGAUUAGCUGGAAUUUUUAUAUCAAGAUUGCUUGUUUAUCAGACUGAGAAUAAGGCAUAACUUUUUGAGUCAAACAACUUCCUAGGAAAACUCAGAAAUCUAAAAGCAUAUGGUCCAACCAGAGAAUAUGGUCUUCUAGAUGCAGAAAUUUUGUUCAGAGAUUUUACUCAAGUCUAUGUUUUCUAAAGCUGUUGCUUGGCAAAAUGUCUGGGUGUUUCAUUGAUCUUGGAUUUCUGGGUCUGCAGAGAAGCAGAUGAUGUUCUUGAAGAUGUUCUGGCUGAUUUCUGAAAAAUCUCCUAUGCUGUCAAAAUUCCUGUCUUGUGGAUCCUGGGGGAAACAAAGGAAGACCCCAAGAAUUUCCAAAGUUUAACUUUAUUCCUACAAAUGACUGCUGGCUGACUGCAAAGCUACUGGAACUGUGGAGUACCUGCCCAGCCUGUGGUUGUGUUGGCAGCUGGACCUUACUAGAAAAUCAUUCAGCUGGUGGCAUUGGAAAAACUCCUUGAAGCUUGAGCUGGGUGGAAGCUCUUGGAGAGAAUGAAUUUGUGUUGCCAAACGCAAUUCUAAGGAAAAAGAAGCACAGAAACACGUGUUUGGUGAACUUCCAUUUGGGAAAGAUUCAAAUUCUUUUCUCCAAAGUGAUCUUUUGUUUUUCAGAAAAAAUUAAAUGGUAUUUGAACAAACAAUUUUAGUCUUAUCAAAACAUGAUGUCCUAAUCCACUUUGAUUUUAAGCAUUUCAAGAUGCUUGAAAAGGCAACUAAAUGGAAGUGUAGAGCCUAUGCAAACUACAUUCUUAGGAAAAAAGGCUUUUGUUCCUGUGCACUCUACCUGAAGUAAAUGAUUAGCUUUUUCUGUGCUAUAACCCAUAGGCACUACAGAGCGUGUA